GAGCGGUAACAGGUGUAGUAAUACAUGCUGACGAGCGGCGAACGGGUGAGUAAUGCUUCGGAAUCUACCCUAUGGUGGGGAAUAACCAGCCGAAAGGUUGGCUAAUACCGCAUAAGUCCUACGGGAGAAAGCAGGGGAUCGCAAGACCUUGCGCCGAUGGAUGAGCCGAAGUCGGAUUAGCUAGUUGGUGGGGUAACGGCCUACCAAGGCGACGAUCCAUAGCUGGUCUGAGAGGAUGAUCAGCCUCACUGGGACUGAGACACGGCCCAGACUCCUACGGGAGGCAGCAGUGGGGAAUAUUGGACAAUGGGGGCAACCCUGAUCCAGCCAUGCCGCGUGAAUGAUGAAGGCCUUCGGGUUGUAAAGUUCUUUUGACGGGGACGAUGAUGACGGUACCCGUAGAAUAAGCUCCGGCUAACUUCGUG
rnacentral:rRNA from 1 species